UACGUAGGGUGCGAGCGUUUAAUCGGAAUUACUGGGCGUAAAGCGUGCGCAGGCGGUUUGCUAAGAACCGAUGUGAAAUCCCCGGGCUCAACCUGGGAACUGCAUUGGUGACUGGCAGGCUAGAGUAUGGCAGAGGGGGGUAGAAUUCCACGUGUAGCAGUGAAAUGCGUAGAGAUGUGGAGGAAUACCGAUGGCGAAGGCAGCCCCCUGGGCCAAUACUGACGCUCAUGCACGAAAGGCGUGGGGAGCAAACAGG
rnacentral:rRNA from 1 species